AGCAGCCGCGGUAAUACGUAGGGGGCGAGCGUUGUCCGGAUUUAUUGGGCGUAAAGAGCUCGUAGGCCGUUCGGUAAGUCAGAUGUGAAAACUCCAGGCUCAACUUGGAGAGGCCAUCUGAUACUGCCGUGACUAGAGUCCGGUAGGGGAGCACGGAAUUCCUGGUGUAGCGGUGAAAUGCGCAGAUAUCAGGAGGAACACCAGCGGCGAAGGCGGUGCUCUGGGCCGGAACUGACGCUGAGGAGCGAAAGCGUGGGGAGCGAACAGG
rnacentral:rRNA from 1 species